AUUCAAAUAUUGAUGCUAUCGUUUUCAUCGCUAGUUACAUUCUACAUGUAGGCUUGGGGUGAUAUUAACUUUCACAUGGUAUCAUAUAUUUUUGCGUUUGCAAGUCUUGGUUGUGCACGAUCCUUUUCAUAUUUCUACGGUGUUUUUAAGAAGCUCUAGAUCUAAAAUAUCGUAACAUGAUUGCAAAACAACAUAUUCACAAGACAACUGUAUAAACUAUGUUUCUUUCCAGAG
rnacentral:lncRNA from 1 species